AGAGUUUGAUCAUGGCUCAGAGCGAACGCUGGCGGCAGGCCUAAAACAUGCAAGUCGAACGGAUCCUUCGGGAUUAGUGGCGGACGGGUGAGUAACACGUGGGAACGUGCCUUUUGGUUCGGAACAACUCAGGGAAACUUGAGCUAAUACCGAAUGUGCCCUUCGGGGGAAAGAUUUAUCGCCAUUAGAGCGGCCCGCGUCUGAUUAGCUAGUUGGUGAGGUAACGGCCCACCAAGGCGACGAUCAGUAGCUGGUCUGAGAGGAUGAUCAGCCACACUGGGACUGAGACACGGCCCAGACUCCUACGGGAGGCAGCAGUUAGGAAUCUUGCGCAAUGGGGGAAACCCUGACGCAGCCAUGCCGCGUGAAUGAUGAAGGUCUUAGGAUUGUAAAAUUCUUUCAGCGGGGACGAUAAUGACAGUACCCGCAGAAGAAGCUCCGGCUAACUUCGUGCCAGCAGCCGCGGUAAUACGAAGGGGGCUAGCGUUGCUCGGAAUUACUGGGCGUAAAGGGCGCGUAGGCGGAUGUUUAAGUCAGAGGUGAAAGCCCAGGGCUCAACCUUGGAACUGCCUUUGAUACUGGGCAUCUUGAGUACGGGAGAGGUGAGUGGAACUCCGAGUGUAGAGGUGAAAUUCGUAGAUAUUCGGAAGAACACCAGUGGCGAAGGCGACUCACUGGCCCGUUACUGACGCUGAGGCGCGAAAGCGUGGGGAGCAAACAGGAUUAGAUACCCUAGUAGUCC
rnacentral:rRNA from 1 species